UGGGGAAUAUUGCACAAUGGGCGCAAGCCUGAUGCAGCCAUGCCGCGUGUAUGAAGAAGGCCUUCGGGUUGUAAAGUACUUUCAGCGGGGAGGAAGGUGUUGAGGUUAAUAACCUCAGCAAUUGACGUUACCCGCAGAAGAAGCACCGGCUAACUCCGUGCCAGCAGCCGCGGUAAUACGGAGGGUGCAAGCGUUAAUCGGAGUUACUGGGCGUAAAGCGCACGCAGGCGGUCUGUCAAGUCGGAUGUGAAAUCCCCGGGCUCAACCUGGGAACUGCAUUCGAAACUGGCAGGCUAGAGUCUUGUAGAGGGGGGUAGAAUUCCAGGUGUAGCGGUGAAAUGCGUAGAGAUCUGGAGGAAUACCGGUGGCGAAGGCGGCCCCCUGGACAAAGACUGACGCUCAGGUGCGAAAGCGUGGGGAGCAAACA
rnacentral:rRNA from 1 species